rfam:Flavobacterium sp. EM1321 contig00036, whole genome shotgun sequence.
CCCUAGCCCUGAUAGUAGUGAAAAUCCUUGCUUGACGACCUUUAGUCAAGAAAGACUGUAGCAGAUAGCAGGAAAUAGC